rnacentral:rRNA from 1 species
CCUACGGGAGGCAGCAGUGGGGAAUAUUGCACAAUGGGGGAAACCCUGAUGCAGCGACGCCGCGUGAGCGAUGAAGUAUUUCGGUAUGUAAAGCUCUAUCAGCAGGGAAGAAAAUGACGGUACCUGACUACGAAGCCCCGGCUAACUACGUGCCAGCAGCCGCGGUAAUACGUAGGGGGCAAGCGUUAUCCGGAUUUACUGGGUGUAAAGGGAGCGUAGACGGUCCUGCAAGCCAGCUGUGAAAGCCCGGGGCUCAACCCCGGGACUGCAGUUGGAACUGUAAGGCUAGAGUGGCGGAGAGGCAGGCGGAAUGCCUAGUGUAGCGGUGAAAUGCGUAGAUAUUAGGAGGAACACCAGUGGCGAAGGCGGCGUGCUGGACGAUGACUGACGUUGAGGCUCGAAAGCGUGGGGAGCAAACAGGAUUAGAUACCCUUGUAGUC